rnacentral:rRNA from 1 species
GACGAACGCUGGCGGCGUGCUUAACACAUGCAAGUCGAGCGGAAAGGCCCUUUCGGGGUACUCGAGCGGCGAACGGGUGAGUAACACGUGAGUAAUCUGCCCUUGGCUUUGGGAUAACCACCGGAAACGGUGGCUAAUACCGGAUAUGACGGGCUCCGGCAUCGGGGUUCGUGGAAAGUUUUUCGGCCAGGGAUGUGCUCGCGGCCUAUCAGCUUGUUGGUGGGGUAAUGGCCUACCAAAGGCUUCGACGGGUAGCCGGCCUGAGAGGGUGACCGGCCACACUGGGACUGAGACACGGCCCAGACUCCUGCGGGAAGGCAGC